rnacentral:rRNA from 1 species
ACCAGCAGCCAUAUCACCCUGUAGCCCAAGACUGGUUGCCCAUUGAAGCUAAGCAGGGCUGAGCCUGGUCAGUACCUGGAUGGGAGACCUCCUGGGAAAACUAGGUUGCUGCUGGAA